rnacentral:lncRNA from 1 species
CUCCAAACAGCAUCCUUCCAGACUUUGUUGUGAUCAUUCAUCUUUUGGGCUUUUGGAUGAACGCAGCAUCACCUCCAGGCCAUCCUAUCAAAAACCUGCUCAGGGAUUUAGCUCAGUGGUUCUGCAGCCUGCCUCACAAGCACAAGGUCCCAAGUUCAGAUCCCCAGUACCAAAAAAACACCAACAACAAAGAAAUCUGCUCAAGGGUCUUGUUUUGUAGUUCAGCCUGGCCUUGAACUCACUAUGCAGCCCAGGUGGCCUUGAACUCAUGGCGAUCCCCUGCAUCAGCCUCAGGAGUGCUGGGAUUCUAGGUAGACAGUAUGAGCUCAGUGACCCUCAUCUGCUUUCUUCCUCACAGUAUUCCUAGCACCGGAGCACAUGGGAGGCACGCAGUAAAUCCUUAUUAAAUGGAAGUGGAAUGUUUAAAUGCCUCACUGUCGCUCUUGUGUGAGAAACUGAAAGUGGAAAUAAGGACCAAAAUGUAUAAUAGAUAUUGGGAAAUGGGAAGAAAAUGUUCAAAUGGGAAG